rnacentral:rRNA from 1 species
GAUGAACGCUGGCGGCGUGCCUAAUACAUGCAAGUCGAGCGAACAGACGAGGAGCUUGCUCCUCUGACGUUAGCGGCGGACGGGUGAGUAACACGUGGAUAACCUACCUAUAAGACUGGGAUAACUUCGGGAAACCGGAGCUAAUACCGGAUAAUAUAUUGAACCGCAUGGUUCAAUAGUGAAAGACGGUUUUGCUGUCACUUAUAGAUGGAUCCGCGCCGCAUUAGCUAGUUGGUAAGGUAACGGCUUACGAAGGCGACGAUGCGUAGCCGACCUGAGAGGGUGAUCGGCGCCACUGGAGCUGAGACACGGUCCAGACUCCUACGGGAGGCAGAAGUAGGGAAUCUUCCGAAAUGGGCGAAAGCCUGCCGGAGCAACGCCGCGUGAGUGAUGAAGGUCUUCGGAUCGUAAAACUCUGUUAUUAGGGAAGACCAAAUGUGUAAGUAACUAUGCACGUCUUGACGGUACCUAAUCAGAAAGCCACGGCUAACUACGUG